GGAGAGUUGGCAGAGUGGUCGAUUGCGGCGGUCUUGAAAACCGUUGAGGGUCAUACCUCCGGGGGUUCGAAUCCCUCAUUCUCCG
rnacentral:tRNA from 1 species